rnacentral:misc_RNA from 1 species
UUUUUUUUUUAAUUUUUUUUUUUAGUUUUCAAUUGGGGUUUAACGGUUUGGGCAUUUUUUUGCUCCAAUAAUAUUUUGAUUUUGGUUUUUGUAUUUUAAAUUAUUUCACUUCAUUAUCCCAUUCUUGUGUUUUCAUUUGCUGGAAGUGUUAUAUUGAGUGAAAUCAUAACUUUUAGUCUGUGGGAAGGAUUGGGAAUCAUGGGUGUCUCAUUACUUUGAAUUUGGCCGUCUUUAUUCCAUCCAGGUAAAAGAAUUCUGUCCACUUACAUUAAAUUCUGUUUUGAAUUUUAGUUUAUUUUUGGUAGUUGAGUACAUACUGAAAAAGGAAUGAAAGGUAGAAAAGCAUGCAGUCAACUGAGAAGAGUGCUACCAUUGACAAAUCCCAAAACAAUUUGGCAUUUUCCCAAAAAUUAAAAUUGGCGAGAACCAAGUGUGCACACAGAUAUGAAAGGGUUCACGUGGUAGAUCUUUGCAACUCUUUUAGCAAUAAUGUUCAAACGCUUGCAUUGAACGUACAGAAAAACUUCUGAAUUCUGCAAUAUGUAAUGCAAGAAAUGUUUUCUUGGUAUUUCUUGAUGGCUUAAAUGCUUUUCAGUUUUCAAUUUACUGUAACAGUGUGCCUUUUGGUUUGCAUGAUUUUCCAUCAAUUUUUUGGAUAUGCAUUUGUUUUAUAUCAAGCUUGUUCAUAAAUGUUCCUACAAUAUAUGAUUGUUUGGGACUUUAUCUUUGGUUUAUCAUUUUCUUGAAAUGCAAAAGCAGCAGUUUGUUUUCCUAUAUCCUGCUUGCAGUAAUACCUUUUUAUAAUUUCAAAUGAAUUUCUUAACCUAUGAAUUAUCAUAAUUCAUUUUUCCAGGCAUAUUCAGGAGAUGAGCAGAAUGACAAAUGGAGGUGAGGACGAUAAAAGGUCAAAAGGACGCCUGGAUUCACCAGCAGUUGAAGAAGCCAGUAACGGUCCCUUGAAGAAAGGCCCAUGGACCUCAGCAGAAGAUGCAAUUUUGGUGGAUUAUGUCACUAAGCAUGGAGAGGGAAAUUGGAAUGCUGUCCAGAAGCACUCAGGGCUCUCUCGUUGUGGAAAAAGCUGCCGCCUGCGAUGGGCAAAUCAUCUAAGGCCAGAUUUAAAGAAGGGUGCAUUCACUCCAGAGGAAGAGCGUCGCAUAAUUGAACUCCACGCAAAGAUGGGAAACAAAUGGGCAAGGAUGGCAGCCGAGUUGCCUGGACGCACAGAUAAUGAGAUAAAGAACUACUGGAAUACGAGAAUAAAGAGACUGCAACGUGCUGGUUUACCAAUUUAUCCUCCAGAAGUAUGCCUGCAAGUAUUAAACGGAAGUCAAGAAAGUCAAAACAUAGGCACACUGCAAACUACUGACACAUAUGGUCCUGAUCUGAUACAGACGGACCCUUUUGAGAUUCCAGAAGUGGAAUUCGAGAAUUUAGGACUCAAUCUUCCAUCUUAUUCCCCAACAGUUCUUGAUAUUCCUACUAGCAGUGCGCUGAAGCAAGAUAUAGGUUCCUCCCAUAGUAAUAGCUUUAUGUUUCCAACUAUGCAUCCUCACAAACGCCUUCGAGAGUCACAGACCAUAUUCCCUAGUCUGGAUGGUAGUGUUAGCGGUGGCCUCUCAGCUUUCAUUCAAUCAACAAAUUACUUUUCUGAGAAUAUCACAGAAUCCGCUGGUAUAUCUUCUCAAUAUGAUUCUCAUACUAACACCUUUCGCCAGCCACCACUGGAUGUUCUUCCUGGCAGUCAUGCCCUAUUAAAUGACAAUUCUUCUUCUUCUGAGCCCUUAUAUGGGGCUAUGAAGUUGGAGCUCCCUUCACUCCAAUAUUCAGAAACUCAACAGGAUAGCUGGGGAACACCUACUUCCCCAUUGCCUUCACUUGAGUCUGUUGAUACUUUGAUUCUGUCUCCUCCAAAUGAACAGACCCAGUCAGAGUGCCUUUCACCACGAAGCAGUGGUCUGUUGGAAGCAGUACUAUAUGAAUCGCAGACCAAAAACUCAAAGAAAUGCUCUGGUCACCAAACUUCAGAUACUUCUGUUGCACCUGGUGAUGUAGAGGAUUGCCCCUUGAAUCCCUAUGAGACAGAAUGGGAAGUACAUGUUGACCCAAAUUCUCCUUUAGGUCACUCUGCUGCGUCAGUAUUCAGUGCAUGUACUCCCAUCAGUGGAAGCUCAUCAGAUGAACCAGGAUUUGAUCUGAAGCCUGAAACAACCAAUCAGGUUUCAACCUCAUACGUUAAAGAGAAAGAAGUUCUUAAUCAGAUUGACUUUAUGAGGCCAGAUGUUUUGCUCGGCUCAGGCUGGUUUGCGCUUGGUGGUGGGUGUGGUGGGAGUGCUAAUGACCAACCUGUUCGAACUAAUGCAGCAGGGGCAUCACUUGGUGAUGAUAUUGACAACGAAGGCUAGUAAAUGGAUGCUCGGAAUUUUAGUCAAUAUUGCAAAUGAGAGAAGUUGCCUAUUUGUUAGCUCUGGUACUUCAAUUCAUCUUUGUAACUACAUUCACCUUUAUCUUUUUGUUACGAUUGCUGAGAGGUGGCCUUUCCAAGAUCUUGUGAACUAUGGCGUGACAAUUUAUAUGUUAGUAUGCUCAAGUACAUCUUGAUUAUUUCUUUUGUUGGCAGUGGUGGUCUUGGAAGAUUUUAUAUUAUGAAACAUUAUUGUGUUCAUUUUGUGUAGUGGCAAUCAAUAAUAAAAGAUUUGCAC